rnacentral:lncRNA from 1 species
GGAGGUGAGCUUAGCUAUUAGAGAGGUAUGUGUAGCUAAGCUCUAGCUUCUUUAGGAAUCUUCUUAAGGAAGCUUCUCAAGGAGGUGAGCUUAGUUAUGAGAGGGGUGUGUGUAGCUAAGCUCUAGCAUCUCAAGGAAGUUUUCUCAAAGAAGCUUCUCAAGGAAGUUUUCUCAAGAAAGCUUCUAAAGGAAGCUACCUAGUCUAUAAAUAGAAGCAUGUGUAACACUUGUUGUAACUUUGAUAAAUGAGAGUCUUGUGAGACACAACUCAAAGUUCAACUUCUCUCCCUUUUUCUUCCUUCAAUUUCGUGCUCCCCCCUCUCUCUUUCUCUCCCUCUUUCUUUUCCUCCAUUGAAUCAUCCUCUCCAAGCUUCUUAUCCAAGGCUCAUCUUGGUGGUGAAGCUCCUUCUUCCAUGGCUUAUUCCCUAGUGGAUGGCACUGCCUCUUACCUCUUCUCCUUUGUCUUCCGCUGCAUCUCCAUGGUGGAAAACCACAAUUAAAGGACCCCAUUGAAGCUCAAAGAUCCAUCCUCCAUAGAAGCUCCACAAGCAAGCUUCGAUCAAGUGGUAAUCAGAGCACAAGAGCUUCAAGUAGGUGCUUCUUAAACCUCCAUUAAUUUUUUGCUUUACCUUCUCUUCCAUUGUUGUUUCUUCAUUUUUUCUCCUUGUAUCUCCUCACACGUCUUUUGCUAAAUGUUUUUAACAUGAUUCUUUAGAGUUUCCACCGAUUAAACUUGCUAUAGAAGCUAGAUUUGAUUUUUCUAUGGUUCAAAUUUCUUGUUCUUGUUCUUGAACCAUGAAUUGUGUUGAGUUUAGGUUCCUUUGAGUUUUUGUCUUGUUAUUUUUUGUGGCUGAAACCUAAACCAUAAAAUUCUUACAAAAAUAUUAAAGUAGAAGAAAACCUCAAAAAUCUAGAGUGACUUGUUCACCUAUUGUAGUUUUGCCAUAGAAGUCAUGUCUAGUCAUGAAACUUGUCACAUAAGAUUUCUUAUGUUGUGCUGAAUUUUAUUUUUCUUGUUUCUUUGUCUAAUUCAUUUGUUCAUGAGUGUAUGAAAUUCUCUUAGCCUAUUAUUUGAUUUGAGUCAAAUCUUUCAUGUUAAUUAGUCUUUAACAUGUUCAUGCAAAAUUCUUAGAGAGUCUUUGAUUGUGAACCUUUUCUUGAACUUUUAGGUUUCCUUAUGAUUGUGUCUAUUGUGAAUUUGAGUUUUGGUGAUUGAAUUGCUGGCUGAAAUGUUGAUCCUAAUAGAAUAUUGAACUCCUAAAACUGUGUUAAACAAUACGAGUGAGUUCAACAUACAUGGGAAGGUUGAAAGUAAGCCCAAGGCAAUCAAUAUACCAUGCUUAAAAUAAAAAAAAAAAAUCGCUGGUGCUGGCAGCUUGGACAUACAAACUAGUAAAAUUACUGAGAAUUGGUUAAUUCGAAUUUUGAGCUGAAAUUUUUACUAAAUUUUACAGACAUCUGGAAGAAAGUUAUAAAAAAAGAACCAAGUGAUUUGGAGAAAAGGAAAAAAAUAUAAAAAUCAUACAAGUUGGCAGAAAAAAUUAGUAUCCAGAAAAAAAAAAGUGAAAGGGAAGUGUGCUUGUUGUUUUAGCUCAAAAUUUAUUCUAUAAUUGGUGCCUAUGUUAUACCAAUCUUAGUUCUGAAAUUUCAAUUGAAAAUUACUGUGAAAACAAGUGCCAAAGCUAGAGGUUUGUUCAGUCUUUUUUUUAUAGUUUUUUUUACUCUACUCUAGAGUCAUUCUAAGUUUCUCUUUGAGUCCUAGUUUGCUUCUAUGUCCUUUUCAUUGCUUUAAUUGUUGAGUAAUCCUUGAAAAUUUGUCUUUUUAAAACUCCAUUGGUUUAGCUUUCAUUUCAUUUUUUUUUUGGUCUUUGGUUAUUGCUUGUCUCUUUGUUUCCUUGUUUGUGGGUUGUCAUAUAGGGAAUUGGAAUGAGGAAUGGUGUCAUCCCUUGAAGAAUUUGAGUAAAAAAGAAAGGGGCCAACCACCUUAAGAGCUAUUGGACUAAGAAGCACUCUAAAUUGAGUGAAUCACCAAAGAGAGAACAACCACCAAAAUUGAGGACCGUUUUGUAAUUUUGUAAUUGGCAAUUUACUUACCAUUCAUUGCUUUCAAGUUUUGUAACAAAAAGGCCAUUCAUUGGAAGUGUGUUGGGAGCCUCCAAUAGGUUACCAAACUUCCAUUUGUGUAAUAAUUUUUGGCAAUUUUUCCUUAGGAUAGUGAGUGUUUUGUUGGGAACCUUGAAUGUGGUCAUCCAAACAUUCUUAGGAUUCGCCUAGUUUACAUUUCUUGCUUACUUUCAUAGCUUAUUUCCUUUACCUUCCAUUGUCAAACCGCCUAGAUAGCUUUCCUUUUACCAAUUAUUUUUUUACCUUAUCUUUCACACCUCUUUUAGUGUUUAUUUUGGCUAGUUUCAACCAUAGUUUCUUUUACCUUUUGUUUUCAAACCUCCAACAAGAAAGAACCAUAACUUAGAAACCAACAUGAGUCAUCAUUCAUCUAGUGUUAAUGGCGAGGGUACUAGUCAUAAAGACUCUUUAUCUAGAAUCUUAGAUGAGUUGAGUUCCCUCAAGUUAUGGAAAGAAAAACAAGAGAGAAAAGAAAAAGAAAAAAAAAGAGUGGAAGAAAUAAGUCAAGAUGAAAGAAAGAAAAUAAGAGAGGAAGAAAGAAGAAAAAUAAUGAAAGAAAUGAAAAGAGAAAAACAUGCCUCCUAUAGUAGUCAUAACUCUUGCAAAAGCCUAAGUGAAGAACUUCGUGACUAUUACGAAGGAAGGCAUAGGUCACAUCUUAGACCUCACUCCCAUAGAAGAGAAAAGGAAAGAAAGCCUCAAGAGGCUAACAUUAAACUCUCAUACUUCCAUGGGAAGGACAGUGUAGAGGCUAACUUAAAUUGGGAAAUAAGGGUAGAGCAACAACUUAAAAAGAAGUCUACUUUAAAAUCUUAUGGCUCUCACUCUUAUCCAAAGAAAGACCAAGGUCAAGGCAUCUUAGGGGUGACACCUUCUAAGCCCAAAGAUGAUAAGGGGAAGACAAUAGAAAAGCAAGCCCUUAAGGCUAGUAUGCAAGAGAAAACUAGCUCUAUAAAGUGCUUUAAAUGUCUUGGAAGAUGAUACAUUACUUCUCAAUGCCCCACCACAAAAACCAUGAUUAUGAGGGGCCAAGACAUUUAUAGUAGCCAAGAUGAGGCUAGUACUUCACCUUCCUCUAGUGAAAGUGAAAAAGCAAAAGGGGAAGAAUCUAGUAAAGAAAUCUACCCCCAAGAAAAAGGACAACCAUUAAUGGUUAAAGAGAAGUGUAAGGAGGUAAGUGUCUCCUCCAAGAGCUUAGCUAAGAAGGAAACUCAUUUUACAAUAAAGAUAAACAUUAAAGAAAUUUUUCCUCUUAGACAACCUCCACAUUUUCUCUUUUGUAAAAAGGCACUUGCUAGCAUUGUCACACCUCUUGGGCUUGAGUUUAUUCCUCAAGUAAAGAAGUUAUUGGAUGAGGGUUUGAUUCGCAAGAGCUUAAAUCCUUGUGCUUUGUUGGUGCCCAAAAUAGGUAUUAUUAGGCACCAAGUCCCUAAAAUAGGUGGUAUGAUGAAUGUUUUGAGUGGUGCAACCCUCUUUUGUAAAAUCACUCGUACACCUAACAUAUUCAUGGUGUGUGUACAUAAGGAUUCAUUAGGUAGGUUUGUUCUUAUUUUUAGUUUCAAUACAAACCUAGGUGCUCAUAUGGGACACCUUAAGUUUGUUGUACUUUUUGGUAGGAGUAAUCAACAUGAAAAUACAGAAAAAUGUAUGUUUUAUUGCGUUACUUUUCUUAAUUUUUCAAAUAGUGAUCAAGGGGUUCCCAUGAACCCUAAGAGAAUAAAGGUCAUUCCUGAGUGGCCCACUCCACCAAGUAUAAGAAAAAUUUGGGGCUUCCAUGACUUAACAAACUUUUACAAAAGGUUUGUCCCAUAUUUUUCUAUACUUGUAGCACCACUCAUUGAGUUGGUGAGAAACCAUGUUCCUUCAUGGGAAGAUGCCCAGGAAAUGGGUUUUCAGACCUUACCUUACUUCAACAUACCAAACACCACUAAUACAUAUGUUUUUGUUCUUUUUACAGGUGUUGAGGGAAGGAGCCCAAUGUAUGAAGAACCUCGGGAUUUGAGGUCAAUUGCUUUCCAAGGUGGAGGGAAUGAUGCAAUCCUACUCCGCAAGGAAAUUGGGUAGAAGACUCUAAGUAGAUUGGGCUAGAAAUCCAAGGGAAGGCCCUAGGGUUCUCAUGAGCCUUAGGGUAGAUUUUGAGACCAUGGGCUAAGUAUGAGCCCGCUUAUCUUUGUAAAUAUUAGAAUAGGUUUUUCCUUCGUCUAGGCCUUGUAUUUUGGUCAUUCUAGUAGUAUAGGAUUUUAGCCUUGUAUUUCAGGGCAUUUUGAGUAGUCUUUGUAGUAAGGACUUUUUUUUUGUAUUUUCAUGUUUUUUGUCAUGGGGGUGAGCUUAGCUAUUAUAGGGGAUGUGUAGCUAAGUUCUAGCUUCUCAUCUCAAGGAGGUGAGCUUAACUAUUAGAGAGGUAUGUGAGGUAUGUGUAGCUAAGCUCUAGCUUCUUUAAGAAUCUUCUUAAGGAAGCUUCUCAAGGAGGUGAGCUUAGUUAUAAGAGGGGUGUGUGUAGCUAAGCUCUAGCAUCUCAAGAAAGUUUUCUCAAAGAAGCUUAUCAAGGAAGUUUUCUCAAGAAAGCUUCUAAAGGAAGCUACCAAGUCUAUAA